UCGGGAAUAUUGCGCAAUGGAGGAAACUCUGACGCAGUGACGCCGCGUGCAGGAAGAAGGUUUUCGGAUUGUAAACUGCUUUAGACAGGGAAGAUAACGACAGUACCUGUAGAAUAAGCUCCGGCUAACUACGUGCCAGCAGCCGCGGUAAUACGUAGGGAGCAAGCGUUAUCCGGAUUUAUUGGGUGUAAAGGGUGCGUAGACGGGAAGGCAAGUUAGUUGUGAAAUCCCUCGGCUUAACUGGGGAACUGCAACUAAAACUAUCUUUCUUGAGUGUUGGAGAGGAAAGUGGAAUUCCUAGUGUAGCGGUGAAAUGCGUAGAUAUUAGGAGGAACACCAGUGGCGAAGGCGACUUUCUGGACAAUAACUGACGUUGAGGCACGAAAGUGUGGGGAGCAAACAGGAUUAGAUACC
rnacentral:rRNA from 1 species